rnacentral:lncRNA from 1 species
GAGCCAACUGAGGAGUCUCUUCACCGAGAGCUGGAAGGUGCUGGGCGAUCAAGUCUGUGGUAGAAACAGGAUGGUGUAACUGAGACAAGAUGAAAUCUGUAAACGUUUGGACCUUGAAUCAGUAACACUGCAACGAAAGCCAAAGGCAGGAGUCCAGUUGCUCCGGGACAGUGGAAAUACUUCAGAUGGUUCUUGAGGAGAAAUGAGCAAGUUGAAGAGAGAUGAUGUCAAGGAGAUGAGGUGGUUUGGGUGGGAAACCACAGGACAUGGAGCCACGGACACAGCACAGAUGGGCUAUCCACACCGGCUAAUCGGCCCGACUUCCUCAUGCAGAUGGCACUAAGGCUAGAACUGUCUUCAUUUUUGAAGAAUAAGAACUACAGUCGUGCAAGCUCUGUCCCCUUUCACAACCAGACUAAACCAUGGAAGGAAAUUCAGGUGAUUCACUUUGCUGCAGCUGAACUGACUCUGAAAUCUGACUCUUCCACCAACAAGCAACCUGGGACCUUCACAAGCCCUAAAGCUGUUCCUACUGUAAGUUCCUAAAGCUGUCCCAAAGCUAUAUUCUCACAUCCACUUUCCUAGCUGUAGGAUCUCGGGUCAUUUCAUAACCCAUCAUUUAACUCCAAUACUGUUACCUCCUUUUGGCCGCUCUUCUUUGCAAGAGGUGCCUUGUCAGGCCCUUACCUCAUUCCCAGUAACGGGGCAGUGUAUGUGAUUUGCCAUUAUCCCCGGGGGCACAGCUCCCUCCUCGUUUUGGGCGUUAAGAGUCUUCUCCCCCGGAUUAUGCUAACACGGGUGCAGAGCAAC